GACGCUGCCAAAAAAGGAGAACCAGGGUUCAUAGGCAAGGCUGGAAAUCCAGGAGAGAGAGGCCCCCCUGGGAAGGCUGGAAAAGCAGGUAUUCCUGGCAGCACCGGAGAGAGGGGGGCCCAGGGUGAACCAGGACCCAAAGGACCUCCUGGAGAGGCAGGACCUGAUGGAGAACAAGGACAUGAAG